UCGGUGGAAAACUAAUUCCAUUUAAGCGUGUAAUGUUUUGUUUGCGGCUAGGGAAAAAUAAAAAAAAUCGAACAGUCAAAGUGCAGGACUCUUCGUUGCUUCCUGCUCUUUUAAAUUCUGCUAGUGGUUGACUAAUGGAUCAUUGGCUGCUGUGCCUUGUAAUGGUGAACUAUGAAGCUCACUGGAAACAGCCGUCAUACCCACCGCUGAUAAAGGCGCAUCUCCACGGAAGUUCUAAAGCAUGGUUAAUUUGAAAGGAUGCCGAAAGACAGCGGCCACAAUCAGCGCCGCCAUAUACGAACAUCACCACUCUUCACCAGCAGCAACACUUAUGCUACGUUUAGACAAGGCAGGUGAAUUGAGCAAGUCGCUUGAAUCUAACGCGAAUUGAACGUGUAAACACCUUAAUUCAAAUCACUUGAACGAAAAGAAAGUUGAACAUGUUCAACUUUUGGCAAGUCAACUGAAUUCAACUGAGUUGUUGCAUUAUGCUACCCAAGUAACCAUGGAGCUAUAUAUGCUUGCAAAUAAUACAGCCACAGACAAACAGACGUAACACUGAGGAAAUUCCCAUCGACCAUGACCUCAACGGUCGUUUUAAAAUCAACUGCUUGUGAGUUUCACAUCCAGGGGCGCGCGCAUCGUAUACCUUUGUAUUUGACAUCUCACACUAGCGCCUUCUGUU